rnacentral:rRNA from 1 species
AACGAACGCUGUCGGCGUGCCUUACACAUGCUUGUCGAACGAGAUCUUCGGGCCUAUUUGCUCUCGUUUUCGUAACGCGUGGGAACCUGUUCUUAUGUUCGGAAUAACUCUCUUAAUUUGGUGCUAUUACCGCAUAAUGUCUUCUUACCAAAGAUUUAUCUCCUUUGGAUGGGCCCGCGUUGGAUUAGCUAGUUGGUAGGGUAAAAGCCUACCAAGAGGACGAUCCAUAGCUGGUCUGAGAGGAUGAUCAGCAACACUGGCACUGAGACACGGCCCAGACUCCUACGGGAGGCAGCAGUGGGGAAUAUUGGACAAUGGGAGAAAGACUGAUCCAGCAAUGCAGCGUGAGAGAUGAAGGCGUUAGGGUUGUAAAGCUCUUUUACCCGGGAUGAUAAUGACAGUACCGGGAGAAUAAGCUCCGGCUAACUCCGUG